rnacentral:rRNA from 1 species
AACGAACGCUGGCGGCGUGCCUAACACAUGCAAGUCGAGGGAGAAAGCCCGCAAGGGUAGAGUAAACCGGCGAACGGGUGCGUAACACGUGGAUAAUCUACCUCGGUGACCGGAAUAACUGGCCGAAAGGCUUGCUAAUACCGGAUAAGCCCACGACGUCUUCGGACGACGAGGGAAAAGGUGGCCUCUGCAUGCAAGCUAUCACACCGGGAUGAGUCCGCGGCCCAUCAGCUAGUUGGCGGGGAAUGGCCCACCAAGGCUACGACGGGUAGCUGGUCUGAGAGGAUGAUCAGCCACACUGGAACUGAGACACGGUCCAGACUCCUA